GGCAGUUCUAGGGUGACACAGGAAUUGGGCUCCCUCCUCUCUGGUUCCAGGUGCGUCACCCAAGAACUGCA
rfam:Myotis davidii contig150899, whole genome shotgun sequence.